rnacentral:tRNA from 1 species
GGGGCUGUAGCUCAGUUGGGAGAGCGCGACGUUCGCAACGUCGAGGUCGCCGGUUCGAUCCCGGUCAGCUCCACCA